UACGUAGGGGGCAAGCGUUGUCCGGAAUCAUUGGGCGUAAAGCGCGCGUAGGCGGCCCUGUAAGUCCGUUGUGAAAGUCAAAGGCUCAACCUUUGAAAGCCGAUGGAUACUGCAGGGCUAGAGUCCGGAAGAGGCGAGUGGAAUUCCUGGUGUAGCGGUGGAAUGCGCAGAUAUCAGGAGGAACACCGGUGGCGAAGGCGGGUCGCUGGGACGGUACUGACGCUGAGCGCGAAAGCGUGGGAGCAAACAGG
rnacentral:rRNA from 1 species